rnacentral:rRNA from 1 species
UACGGAGGAUCCAAGCGUUAUCCGGAUUUAUUGGGUUUAAAGGGUGCGUAGGUGGCCUGUUAAGUCAGGGGUGAAAGACGGUAGCUCAACUAUCGCAGUGCCCUCGAUACUGAUGGGCUUGAAUGAACUAGAGGUAGGCGGAAUGUAACAAGUAGCGGUGAAAUGCAUAGAUAUGUCACAGAACACCAAUUGCGAAGGCAGCUUACUAUGGUUUUAUUGACACUGAGGCACGAAAGCGUGGGGAUCAAACAGG